rnacentral:rRNA from 1 species
CGGACGGGUGAGUAAUGUCUGGGAAACUGCCUGAUGGAGGGGGAUAACUACUGGAAACGGUAGCUAAUACCGCAUAACGUCGCAAGACCAAAGAGGGGGACCUUCGGGCCUCUUGCCAUCGGAUGUGCCCAGAUGGGAUUAGCUAGUAGGUGGGGUAACGGCUCACCUAGGCGACGAUCCCUAGCUGGUCUGAGAGGAUGCCAGCCACACUGGAACUGAGACACGGUCCAG